AUUGAACGCUGGCGGCAGGCCUAACACAUGCAAGUCGAACGAGUGGCGGACGGGUGAGUAAUGUCUGGGAAACUGCCCGAUGGAGGGGGAUAACUACUGGAAACGGUAGCUAAUACCGCAUACCAUCGGAUGUGCCCAGAUGGGAUUAGCUUGUAGGUGAGGUAACGGCUCACCUAGGCGCAGAUCCCUAGCUGGUCUGAGAGGAUGACCAGCUACACUGUAGCGGCGACAUGGUCCGUACGCCUACGGGAGGCAGGAGUGGGGCAUAGUGCACAAUGGGCGGUAGGCUGCUGGAGACACGCCGCAUGUAUGAAGAAGGCAUUCGGGUUGUAAAGUACUUUCAGAGGGGAGGCGUUACCCGCAGAAGCAGCACCGUCUAACUCCGUGCCAGCUGCCGCGGUAAUUC
rnacentral:rRNA from 1 species